GCAGCCUCAAAAUUUGCACCCAAACUCCUUCUUAGCUUUCCAUCCUCACCUUGUUAUUUCCAUCUCACUCUUCCUUCUUGUGAGUCAUUUCCUUUUCUUUUCUUUUUUUUUUUUUUUAACUGUCAGCUCUAUAAUCUGUAACUUCCUUUUUAAUCUUUUAACACCUUCUCUAGCAUCACCGUGUUCCCUGUUGUUUUGUCUCUUUCACUGUGACAUAGUUCUUCCACCCUCAACCCCAGCUUAGCUCAUCUGGUCAUUUCCACCAGACCUCCACUGACUAACAAACAAGAAUUUUGCAUCAACCUCCGCCUGCUUUCACUAUAAGUCGGCGCAUCAGAUUUUAAAACAGAGUCCAUCUUUACAAUAUCUCCCCCAGUUAAUUGCCCUGUCUUCAGUGUUCUUCAUCAGUUUUAGCCAUUCUGUUUUGUUCUGAGCCAACUAGCUUUAAAGGGAAAUUACACUCUGAUAUAACAUGCAUACUUUUCAGCAACCACGCCCCCAUGUAAAUGCACAAAAAUUGCACACUUACAUUUUUUCCUUCAGUUGUCUGCUUUCAGCAUCGCUGUUCCUGCCAGAGACCAGUGUCCUAAUUCACUGCCAUUUGUUUUUAGUGCCUCUCCUACAAUAAUAACUAUAAGAACUAUAAACUAAACUAUAAACUAACUAUGGUUGCAGUAAUUUCAAUGGAAUAGGCAAUUCUGAAUAAAGGAUGUUUAUUUUUAUAUCUGAGGAUAAUGUUGUUGGCAGUGCAGAGCAACAUUUGUGUUGAAAUAUGUCAUAAUGCAGUCUGACACAGUGCCUGAAAAAAUUGUUCAACCACUGAUAGUUGUUGGUAACUUAAAAGUGAUUGCAGACAAACUCGUGAAUUCCUAUAAAGAAGAGACAGAGAAAUCACUCCAUAGAUUCCCUAGCUGCUGUAGUUUGUUGAUACUUACGAGCAGUUAUUUUAUGCAGGGCGAUUAAAAACGAAUGGAAGUGGAUUAGGACCUUGACAGCUGGGAGAAACGGCGAUGCUGACUGCAUUUUUAGAAGUGCUUUUACAUGGAGAUAAGGCUGCUGAAAACUAAGAAUGUUAUAACGAAGUGAAAUGUCACUAAAAUCAUGGUGUGGCGUCGCUGAUCUUAAUAGAUUCAUCAUUCUUCUACCUCCUAACAUUGCAAAAGAAUUUGAUCUUUGCCAUGUCAGUGAUAAUUCCAUACAAGUCCAGCACCUUAAAAAAACACACACACACACACACAAAUGCAGGCAUGGCAGGUAACCUUUAACAGGCCCAAAGUCAUUGUGUUAUCCUCUUGAAAGAGGAUGUGUUGCUCUCAGACUAUGUGUCAUUUGUAAGCUUUGCCCACUUUGUUACUGGCAGCAUAGGUUUUUGAAAAUAAAUUCUUAAUGAAUAAUAAUGAGCAAUCCACAUUCAGUCAGGAAACUCGGAUUGGCCUAACUCAGUGGCACACCUUUACAAGCAAACCGGUCUACAGACACACAUUUUAAUGCGAAGCCUUUUAAAUGACACAUCCUCGCUCACUGUUAAGCUGGUUGUGCAAACUGCGACUUGUGCUGCUGGUCUCUCCUAUCACAAGAAUCCUGCCGCUCUUGUUCAGCCAGCCACUUCCCAACUCCGCCUGCCAACAUAAUCUGCUGUUAUGGGAGGUGCGUACUUUCUGAGUCAAGUCUAGCAGCAGCAAGCUGUAAAAAAGAUGUGUUCUGCCAAAACCACAUUUAGCCUACUGCUAUGUCACAACCAUUUACAAACUUAAUUGAUAUCAAUGUGUGAGUUGUCCUGACUGAAAUAAAACAAAUCUCAAAUUAUAGCAUGCAUUUUGCCAACUUCUGAGCGAAUGAUGCUUCGAGACACCCCCUAAACAGAAUAUUUCACUUAACAAAAAGUCAAAAAUGUGCCAGUACUGUUCACCCACAGUUUCAAGAAAAAUUAAGGUGCGGUUCCACAUAUGGUAUAUUAUCAGUUUUUUGCUUUGAGCUUGCAGCUUUGCACACCUUUUGACAUCUGUCUUCCUAGGCCUGUGGGUUUAUUCUCAUGUUCCUGUAAAUCAUCGGGGCUUCAUAAUAAAUAGCACACCAGAAAUACACUAGCGAGCCCUUUGCCGCACUGACAGACGACCACAAUAGUGGGAUUUGGGCUGCAAAAUGUCAGCAUGCUUUCACAGCUAAAAGGGCCUCUUGAAAAGCCUGUUGAACUGCGCAGAAUUCAAAAGGAAGACUCUGUCACCAGAUGUGCCACUGUCCUGAAAAAGAAAUGAACCUCUGAGCAACAAUAAGUUUUGCUUAUGGGUUUCCUGUCCUCCCAGCGUCAAAGUCAUGCAUGAAAAACUGAGCACUCACUCUAAUAGUCUUAAUCAUUACUCAUUUUGAUUUUGUGCCCAUGAGACCCAUUAUGUGCUUGAAGCUGCAUGACUGGGGACUUAAAGGGGAAUGCUACCCAUUUUUAGAAUUCACAAAUGGUACUCCUGUGCUCCAGGACAAUUCAGGCGACCCUUUCUAGUAUAUCACCAUAAUUUCCUUUGAUUUCCUUUGAUACACUGAACAUGGCUUACAUAGAAUUCAUAAAUAAUCAUCGUUUCAUGUGUGACACAAUGUGACAAUCAGAAAUUUAGAAACUUCAUCACAAAAUCCACUGGAAUGUUCAUCCCAGCAAUGCCACAUCAGCUUUCUGAUUCUCAUGCAUCAAAUCAACACUGAUUUUACCUUGGGAGUAUUAUGUGGCAGCCAUCAUAACAGCAUUUGCCAAAUGACUAUUCAAGAGUGUAGAUUUGAAUAGGAUUGACUGUUCUAUCAACUCAAGUUCUACGGUUAAGUCAGUACUUGUGAACAUGCACCACUCUUUCCUAAAGCUGACCCUCGCAUUUGAGAUGUCACUAGAACUGUGCCAACAGCUGAUGUGAUAGAACGAUUGUCCUGGCCAAAAUGAUCUUGUAUUGUUUAUGCGUUCUGAUUAAUUAUUUAAAAAGAUGAAAACCCUUAGGAGGAUUUGACAGGGGUGGUGACAGGGCUUGAGACUAAAGGGUGUCCCGUCGUCCUGCGAAUGGAAAAAAAAAACAUGUUUGGAACGGACAUACGUCUUUCACAGGAAGCUUCCAGGACAAAAUUAGAAUUUGGGGAUUUUAUUAUGAGACUCGUGAGACCUGUAAACAAUACAUCACAGCACAUACAAGACUCUGAAAUGUUCCUGUGAUAGCAAUCAUUGUUCCAGUAAUGCCAGCAGUAAUAUCAGUUGCCCUAUUUAGAGAGAGCAGAUGACCCGCAAAUCGCCUACCAACACGAGAACUAGGCCUACAUCUUACCUUGGUCAGCCCACAAGUCAGGACAGGACAGGGACGAGGAUAUAUAGGCGACUCUGAGUUGAAACAGGGACCUGGGUCUGACUGAGUUGCUGUCAGAUCCUCAUUUUUGUUGCAUUGAGUCAUGGUUAUCCAGCUGGCUCAGUGAGCUGAAAUAUUUACCUUUUUAGAAAGUGACAUCUGGAGUUCAAAUCUCGAGAGGGCACAUGCCGUGUUUUCAGUCUCCUCACCGUGAACUGUCACAUUCGGUGGAAAUAGACUAAACUUAAGCGGGCAGUACAAUUAGAGAGACAAAAUGAUGAAAGAACACCCUAGUGGACAGAUGAGCUGAAGCCAAAGUUUAACUCAGCCAGCAAUGUGACGUUUGGAUCAAACACGGGUCGCAGGAGGUAUCAGAGGUAGAAAAGACAGAAGAAAAAGUCUCCAUAUUUCAGGUUGUUUUUUCUUCUCGUAACUUUUAUCCUUUUGUGAAGCACUUUAUAACCUGGGUUUUGCUAUAAAUGCUAUAUGAAUAAAAUAUUUCUUAUUUACGGUGACAUCACAAAUUUAAGGGUUCCCCCUUUAGGACAGAGUUAUGCAAGUUCACAAAUAUUGACUGAACAGUUCUGGAGCACAGAAAUAAUGUGAAUUGUUAAAAUUUAUUCUUAUCCAUACUCCUCAGGCUGUUUGUCAUCUCAUUUUCACUCUCACAUUCUUAACAUGUUGAGUUUUUAUCUCCCUGUCUUAAUAAAACACAUGCAACAUCAGGGAGAUUGUGUCCCUGCAUCUGUUUCUUUAUCUGGCCCCUUCAUUUCCUUCUUUCCCCCUUAUUUCACCUUUUUCUUUAACCAAACAGAUUAUUUUCAGCUGCUGUUGUUAGGAACCCAAUCUGGUAGGUUGUCUUCCGUCCUUUUGGCCACGCUUUGAUACACUUGCCCUGUCAAAGCUAGUCUCAGUCCUUGUUCUGCCUUAUUCCCAAGUUUGAAACUAAGUUGGCCAUAAGCGCCAACUGGCAAGCCCCACAUGCUCUGCUGAAAAUCAGUUUUAAACAACUUAUUUUAAAGUUAAUCUGGCUCCACAUAAUCCAUUGGCAAUGUGCUCCGCUUCUGUUACUGCCUCAAUGCUAGUUCGUCACCGCAAUAAGAUUGAGCUAACAUUCACAAUACGUGAAAUUGAAACACUGAAAUGAAAUGUGCUUGUCAUUCAUGCAGACCUUCUCAACUAUUCUAUGCUUUUCAUUGCGUGUUGGUCAAAACAUCUCUAUCUCUACUAAGGCUCAAUGAUUUCUGAAUUUAAAUAGACAGUCAUCUAACAAUGAAGACAGCCCUUCUUAGCUGUGCAGGUUAAGAGUAAUGUGCCUGUUACUGUAAACUUGUUGCUGUCUUGACCUCGCAUUUGAUCCCACCAGGUUGACUCAGGAUUGUGACUCAGAUCGAGUAACCUAGGAAACAAAGGAACAUGGAGAGAGAGGGAGGCUGGGGAACAAAACAAAAAAAGUGUCACGCCACUGUGUCCAUACAUACUGCAGUGUGUGUGAUCAGCUCAGUCGUUCGCACUCUCACAAGUCUGGUCCGAUGCCUAAGUUCUAAACAGACCAACCUGUGUGUAAGGAAAACACUAUCCUCACACACAAUGAGAGGGAGAGAACGAACACUAAAUGCUCAAACCACGCAAAACGGUACAGAGUGGUUUUUGUCUAAGGGGAGCAGAGAGAGUUCUGUCUGCCUGUCUCUCAAUAUUCCCCUAACUCUCCACUCUCUUGGUCAGUCGUUCAGCAGAAAAACGGAUCGAUAAAGAGUUGAAGCUCUCCGCACCAAGUGACUCCUCGUAAAUGGGUACUUAAACUUUUUUUGGUGGGGUGAGAUGGAGGAAGCCAAACGGGCUUGGUGUUUAAAGGGAGAAAAUGAAAGCUGUGCUUCCUAAUGUCCUGUCUAAGUGGAUCUCUCUGUGUCUGAUGAAGCGUGAAGUGCUCUGUAACCCUAACAAAAUGACUAUCACUGUGUUCCUGUGCUUUUAAAUGGCCUUCUCCACUGUGCCACUAUCUCCACUGCCAUCCUGCUCACUAUGAAAUGGGAGGCAGAAAUGGAGGCCAUCCAUAAAUACAGUAAUUGCAUGAAGGGCAGGUGUUUAUCACAGCCCCCACACAGUGUAAUGAUCCAAAAGGUCAAACUGUUACUGUCCUUGUACUUAAUAUUUCACAUAGUCAUACUGAAUAUUGUAUUUGAAUAUAAAAGUUGACCCAUUUUGAGUUUUCUUUCACCCAUGAGAUAGGUGCUGUAUUUGACAUUCUGUGAAAGUUUUCCCCUCGGAGUAGAGAAAUGCUUAGCAAACACAUCCUGUCACUGCUGAUUUGACACCAUGCUUGCAAGGAAGAGAUAUCUAAAUCCUCUAAGUGCAGUCAUGAUAUGUGGUAUUAUGAGGUGCCCCUGUAAGAAUCAAACUCUGCCAUCUCUGUUUUUUUUUUUUCCCCCCAUGGAUUUAACUGCAGAAAUACAAUUAUAGACUAACAUAUCAUUUGUGAGAAAUCUUGGUGGAGAAGAGGAUUAAUAGCAUCAUGUCAAACUAAGAAUUCAAUAUCUUUUGUCUUUAUUUUACUUCGGUCAAACUCCUGUACAAAUAUAGCAAAAGUGUGUCAUAUUAUUGUACAACAAUAUUGCCUCCAUGAAGAAAACACUAAUGAAGUCGUCCUGUAUACAUUUUUUUUUGUUAAUACAAAUAUGUGAAUUCAGUGUUCUCCUUCCUUAAUUGAAUUUGAGGAUCCUUUUAUUUCCUGCCUUUUAUACUUUAAACAUGUUCUUAAACCCUUGGCUAACUUUGGUUAGUCUCCCCUUUUGAUUCAGUCCUCUUCAUUUGUAUAGUAUCCUCAUUACAGCCUUAUGAGGCAUGAAAGGAAAAGCCAAUGUUUGGCUUUCACUCUCUUAUAAAUGUUAAGAGAUGCAAAAUCGAUGCCUUAAUUCAACAUUUGCAUUUCUAAUGUUGACAUUUUCCAAAGUUUAUCCCUCUUGAGUCUUACACCAUUCCCUAUAGCCCCAAACAAAUAUGAAUGGAGAGAGAGUAAACAUGACUCAUUAAGUGAAACAAGCCACAAAAGGCAUGAAAAAAAUUAUGGCUUCAGUUAAUCCUGCACAGGUCUCCAGACUAAGAUUUUAAAUUUCAAUUGAUGAGUAUUAAUGUGUAAUUGACUGCUGGUCCUUUUAUGGUUACUUGUGAGGAGAUUGUCCUUCUGUGCCUUAACUGAGACUUGGUUCAUUAUCUUCCCAUCAGAGUCAUAGGUAUAUGUACUCUAUACACAUAGCUCUGGCUCUGAAGGAGGUUGCGAGAUAUUCUGUGCUGUUCUGAGAAAUAUGCUGUACACUGCUACAAUAUUAAGUGUUUCUCUUUUGAAUCUUUGGACGCUUACUCAACUUAUUAUUGUCGUCCUUGAGCUGUUUUAUUUUGAGUGCAGUCGCUAAGUUGAUCACUUUUUUUCCUUCUUGAAAUUUUCACCUGGGUAGUCCCUGAAAAGUCUGAUGGUGAGAAGCAGGGAGGUUUUGGUUGGGCUGGGUUUCAAACACCUGGAGAUAUACAGAAUUGUGCAAUUAUGACUUCUAAACUGCUUGGAAAAUUGCUUCUGUGCACUUAAAAAAAAAAGAUUAAGAUGAGACUUUCAUUAAUAAACAAGAUAUUGAUAUUUUACUGUUCCUUGUGCCAUAAAAUACACUGUGCUUUUGUAUAGAGGCCAAACAGCACUGCUUUACAGCAUGCACUGCCAUCAAUAUUAAUUUGUAAUCCAGAACAUUCACUCCCCCAUUAUUAAGUUAUACACUACAUCUACUUCCUUUACUCACCCAAGCAGAGAGCAGAUACUCAGCUAACUCAGCAGUCUGCAUAUGCAUGUUGUAUCUGCCCCACUUAGCUGUCCAGCCACCCUCAUUAAAUUUGCACAAUUACAUAGAGGUCUGGCUUAGGCAGGCUUUCAGUAUUAGACUACUACCAAGCUAUUUUGCAAUUAAAUUGUAACAGUGCCUAUGUACAAGAAUAACAAAAUACAACCUCACUGUUUAUUCAGCUUAACACGUAUAGGCCCUGUUAAUAAAUUCUACUAACUAAUGAAUGUGCAAACACAUUCUAACGCACUAAUGUUCAAGCAUGCUAAACUAAAGCUUAGACCAACCAAGCCAAUGCUAAUACAAGGCUAACCCUGUUAAGCUCUCUAGCUGAAGUACUUUGUACCCCAGUUAGCAUGCUUCCUAGUCAUCCACAACCAGUCACAAGCUGCCAUCACUGCCUCUGACAUUCUUAAUCACCCACUUUGCUGACAAUGUUAAUAUCACUUUGUGUUGCCUGCUAAAAUUGUCCAUAAACGCAAUACACAGACCACUGUUGACACCUGACCGCCAUGCAUGUUUUGUGCAUGCAUGAGAUUGAGUAACUCUCAAUCCCAGGAGGGAGUGGUAGUCUUAAAAAAAAAAAAAAAAAACAGUUGGCCAGAACCUUCAGGAACACAAAAGG